rnacentral:tRNA from 1 species
GCUUGUAUGGCGGAAUUGGUAGACGCGAUAGACUCAAAAUCUAUUUUUCCAAAAGAAAGUAUCGGUUCGACCCCGAUUACAAGCA